CAAAACUGCCUGGCUAGAGGGCGACAGAGGGAGGUGGAAUUCCCGGUGUAGUGGUGAAAUGCGUAGAUAUCGGGAGGAACACCAGUGGCGAAGGCGGCCUCCUGGGUCGCACCUGACGCUCAGACGCGAAAGCUAGGGGAGCAAACGGGAUUAGAUACCCCGGUAGUCCUAGCUGUAAACGAUGUGGACUUGGCGUUGGUGGGGUCAAAUCCAUCAGUGCCGGAGCCAACGCGAUAAGUCCACCGCCUGGGGACUACGGUCGCAAGGCUAAAACUCAAAGGAAUUGGCGGGGGCCCGCACAAGCAGCGGAGCGUGUGGUUUAAUUCGAUCUACACGAAGAACCUUACCCGGGUUUGACAUCCAGGUGGUAGGGAACCGAAAGGCGACCGACCCUUCGGGGAGCCUGGACAGGUGCUGCAUGGCUGUCGUCAGCUCGUGUCGUGAGAUGUCCGGUUAAGUCCGGUAACGAGCGCAACCCUUGCUGUAUGUUAUACGUGUCAUACAGGACUGCCGGUUUAGUGCCGGAGGAAGGCGGGGAUGACGUCAAGUCAGCAUGGCCUUUAUAUCCGGGGCUACACACACGCUACAAUGGCCAGCACAACAGGUUGCAAAACCGCGAGGUGGAGCCAAUCCCCAAAGCUGGUCUCAGUUCAGAUUGCAGGCUGCAACUCGCCUGCAUGAAGUCGGAGUUGCUAGUAACCGCGCGUCAGCUAUAGUGCGGUGAAUACGUUCUCGGGCCUUGCACACACCGCCCGUCACGUCAUGGAAGCUGGCAACACCUGAAGCCGGUAUCCUAACCGCAAGGAUGGAGCCGUCGAAGGUGGGGCUGGUGACUGGGACGAAGUCGUAACAAGGUAACC
rnacentral:rRNA from 1 species